GUGUAUUAGUAUAAGAUGUACAUAAGCUUUUGAUGCUUUAGGGAUUAGUUUAAUUCUAAUAUACACAAU
rnacentral:tRNA from 1 species